UACAGAGGUCUCAAGCGUUGUUCGGAUUCAUUGGGCGUAAAGGGUGCGUAGGCGGCGCGGUAAGUCGGGUGUGAAAUCUUGGAGCUUAACUCCGAAACUGCAUUCGAUACUGCCGUGCUUGAGGACUGGAGAGGAGACUGGAAUUUACGGUGUAGCGGUGAAAUGCGUAGAUAUCGUAAGGAAGACCAGUGGCGAAGGCGGGUCUCUGGACAGUUCCUGGACGCUGGAGGCACGAAGGCCAGGGGAGCAAACGGG
rnacentral:rRNA from 1 species